rnacentral:rRNA from 1 species
AGUGAACGCUGGCGGUAGGCCUAACACAUGCAAGUCGAACGGCAGCACAGUAAGAGCUUGCUCUUACGGGUGGCGAGUGGCGGACGGGUGAGGAAUACAUCGGAAUCUACUUUUUCGUGGGGGAUAACGUAGGGAAACUUACGCUAAUACCGCAUACGACCUACGGGUGAAAGCAGGGGAUCUUCGGACCUUGCGCGAUUGAAUGAGCCGAUGUCGGAUUAGCUAGUUGGCGGGGUAAAGGCCCACCAAGGCGACGAUCCGUAGCUGGUCUGAGAGGAUGAUAAGCCACACUGGAACUGAGCCACGGUCCAGACUCCUACGGGAGGCAGCAGUGGGGAAUAUUGGACAAUGGGCGCAAGCCUGAUCCAGCCAUACCGCGUGGGUGAAGAAGGCCUUCGGGUUGUAAAGCCCUUUUGUUGGGAAAGAAAAGCAGCAGGUUAAUACCCCGCUGUUCUGACGGUACCCAAAGAAUAAGCACCGGCUAACUUCGUG